GGGCCUCGGAGUUAACUCCAACCCCUGUGACAUACCACUUGUUGCCUCGGCGGAUCAGCCCGCUCCCGGUAAAACGGGACGGCCCGCCAGAGGACCCCUAAACUCUGUUUCUAUAUGUAACUUCUGAGUAAAACCAUAAAUAAAUCAAAACUUUCAACAACGGAUCUCUUGGUUCUGGCAUCGAUGAAGAACGCAGCAAAAUGCGAUAAGUAAUGUGAAUUGCAGAAUUCAGUGAAUCAUCGAAUCUUUGAACGCACAUUGCGCCCGCCAGUAUUCUGGCGGGCAUGCCUGUUCGAGCGUCAUUUCAACCCUCAAGCACAGCUUGGUGUUGGGACUCGCGUUAAUUCGCGUUCCUCAAAUUGAUUGGCGGUCACGUCGAGCUUCCAUAGCGUAGUAGUAAAACCCUCGUUACUGGUAAUCGUCGCGGCCACGCCGUUAAACCCCAACUUCUGAAUGUUGACCUCGGAUCAGGUAGGAAUACCCGCUGAACUUAAGCAUAUCAAA
rnacentral:rRNA from 1 species